AUUGAACGCUGGCGGCAUGCCCUACACAUGCAAGUCGAACGAACCCUUCGGGGUUAGUGGCGGACGGGUGAGUAACACGUGGGAACGUGCCUUUAGGUUCGGAAUAACUCAGGGAAACUUGUGCUAAUACCGAAUGUGCCCUUCGGGGGAAAGAUUUAUCGCCUUUAGAGCGGCCCGCGUCUGAUUAGCUAGUUGGUGAGGUAAUGGCUCACCAAGGCUACGAUCAGUAGCUGGUCUGAGAGGAUGACCACCCACAUUGGGACUGAGACACGGCCCAAACUCCUACGGGAGGCAGCCGUGGGGAAUCUUGCGCAAUGGGCGAAAGCCUGACGCAGCCAUGCCGCGUGGAUGAUGAAGGUCUUAGGAUUGUAAAAUCCUUUCACCGGUGAAGAUAAUGACUGUAGCCGGAGAAGAAGCCCCGGCUAACUUCGUGCCAGCAGCCGCGGUAAAAC
rnacentral:rRNA from 1 species